CCAACAGGCACAGGUCUGUUUAAACAGGGUGCUUUAGCCAAAGCAUUGCAGGGUUUUACGAUUCUCUUCAUUGGGUCACUAGUGGCUCUCUUAUAUUCUCUUCUCUUAUGCAGUAGGCUAUAUAGAUCUGGAGAUAUGAGUUUGGAUUGUCUCUUCCACAUAGCUUAAGCCCGGAUUGUCCUAAAGGAAGGGUCUAUGGAUGUAUCCUCUCCGAAAUGCAAACUAUUUUUUCCAGGCUCUCCUAUAUCUACUCCAGUGAUUAGUAAAAUCCCUAUGAGAGAGGUGUUUGACAGAAGAGGAUUGACAGCAGUUCAGACCCAAGUGUACUGCAUCAUCAGAAAUGAGGAAAGGCUGUAGGGUCUGGUGUAUCCUUUCUCAAACUGGGCGGGCUGAGAGGUUGAGAGAAAAUGGACAAAUACAGUCGUCUGAUGGCGACAGAAGAGGAACUGGAGCAGGAAGGGAUUCUGGGUGCUAGAGAGAGAGAAAAAAAACAGCAUCUUUCCAAACAUUUAAGUCCGGAAGCGGCUGUGACUCAAUGUCGUACAAUGCAUUGCAAAUGGUAACAGACUGUGACCAUCUCUACUUGAUGUGACUUCAUCUCCUGUCUGUCUGUCUGAUAUUAUCACAGUUUUUGUCUGACCUGACUGCAUGACAUCAAAAUGCAUAUUUGUUCCAAUUCACAUGAAAAUAUAUUUUUAAGUGCAAGAUUGUAAACAAGUGACUCAUCAUCACAUGCACCAUAUUCCUGUGUGAUAUACUUUAGUGCUUGUAUAGAUGGUUUAUACAUUAAACAAACAUAUCCAAAGUCAAGUUAAUUGUGUGUGUAAUGUGUCAGUA